UGAUUUGUCUCAAAAAAUCUA
rnacentral:siRNA from 1 species